UGCAAGUCGUACGGAAGAAAGGCAACUUUCUUUAGUGGCGGACGGGUGAGUAACGCGUAAGAAUCUUCCCUUUAGAGUGGUAUAACCUUUGGAAACGAUGGUUAAUCCCGCAUAUGAGAGUAAUCUUGAAAGGUACAGCAAUGUAUCGCUAGAGGAUGAGCUUGCGUCUGAUUAGCUAGUUGGUGAGGUAAUGGCUCACCAAGGCGAUGAUCAGUAGCUGGUUUGAGAGAACGACUAGCCACACUGGGACUGAGACACGGCCCAGACUCCUACGGGAGGCAGCAGUGGGGAAUUUUUCGCAAUGGGCGCAAGCCUGACGGAGCAAUACUGCGUGGAGGAUGAAGGCUCGUGGGUUGUAAACUCCUUUUCCUAGAGAAGAAAUCAUUGACGGUAUCUAGGGAAUAAGCAUUGGCUAACGACGUGCCAGCAGCUGCGGUAAUACGUGGAAUGCAAGCGUUAUCCGGAUUUAUUGGGCGUAAAGCGUCUGUAGGUUGCUUCGCAAGUUUGCUGUUAAAUUGUUCGGCUCAACCGAAUCCCAGCAGCAAAAACUAUGAAGCUUGAGUGUGGUAGAGGAAAAAGGAAUUCCCUGUGGAGCGGUGAAAUGCGUAGAGAUAGGGAAGAACACCAAUGGCGAAAGCAUUUUUCUGGGCCUGCACUGACACUGAGAGACGAAAGCUAGGGGAGCGAGCGGGAUUAGAUA
rnacentral:rRNA from 1 species